rnacentral:rRNA from 1 species
GACAGAGGGUGCAAGCGUUGUUCGGAAUUAUUGGGCGUAAAGGGCGCGUAGGCGGCCUCGCAAGUCAGGUGUGAAAUCCCAGGGCUUAACCCUGGAACUGCAUCUGAUACUGCUUGGCUUGAAUCCCGGAGAGGGUGGUGGAAUUCCUGGUGUAGAGGUGAAAUUCGUAGAUAUCAGGAGGAACACCGGUGGCGAAGGCGACCACCUGGACGGAGAUUGACGCUGAGGCGCGAAAGCGUGGGGAGCAAACAGG